UCCGAACACACACACGCUGAACUUUUACCUGUUUUUAUGCCGAGUCUUUAGCAAGUUUCUUCCAAAGGGAGCCAUGGUCCGCCAGGCCAGCGAACAGCGAGGGUACCUUCAAGUUCUCGGGAUUCAGAAGAGAAAAU